rnacentral:rRNA from 1 species
CAGUAGCCGCGGUAAAACGGAGGGUGCAAGCGUUACUCGGAAUCACUGGGCGUAAAGGACGCGUAGGCGGAUUAUCAAGUCUCUUGUGAAAUCUAACGGCUUAACCGUUAAACUGCUUGGGAAACUGAUAAUCUAGAGUAAGGGAGAGGCAGAUGGAAUUCUUGGUGUAGGGGUAAAAUCCGUAGAUAUCAAGAAGAAUACCUAUUGCGAAGGCGAUCUGCUGGAACUUAACUGACGCUAAUGCGUGAAAGCGUGGGGAGCAAACAGGAUUAGAUACCCGCGUAGUCCCUGUCUCUUAUAC